rnacentral:rRNA from 1 species
AGCGAACGCUGGCGGCAGGCCUAAUACAUGCAAGUCGAGCGGCCGUAGCAAUACGGCAGCGGCAGACGGGAGAGUAACACGUGGGAACGUACCCUUCGGUUCGGAACAACCCAGGGAAACUUGGGCUAAUACCGGAUACGUCCGUAAGGAGAAAGAUUUAUCGCCGAGGGAUCGGCCCGCGUCUGAUUAGCUUGUUGGUGAGGUAACGGCUCACCAAGGCGACGAUCAGUGGCUGGUCUGAGAGGAUGAUCAGCCUCACUGGGACUGAGACACGGCCCAGACUCCUACGGGAGGCAGCAGUAGGGAAUAUUGGACAAUGGGCGCAAGCCUGAUCCAGCCAUGCCGCGUGAGUGAUGAAGGCCUUAGGGUUGUAAAGCUCUUUCGGCGGGGAAGAUAAUGACGGUACCCGCAGAAGAAGCCCCGGCUAACUUCGUGCCAGCAGCCGCCGUAAUAC